rnacentral:rRNA from 1 species
UACGUAGGGGCUAGCGUUGUCCGGAAUCAUUGGGCGUAAAGAGCGUGUAGGCGGCCCUGGUAAGUCCGCUGUAAAAGUCAAAGGCUCAACCUUUGAAUGUCAGUGGAUACUGCCGGGCUAGAGUCCGGAAGAGGCGAGUGGAACUCCUGGUGUAGCGGUGGAAUGCGCAGAUAUCAGGAAGAACACCAACGGCGAAGGCAGCUCGCUGGGACGGUACUGACGCUGAGACGCGAAAGCGUGGGGAGCGAACAGG